rnacentral:lncRNA from 1 species
UGUUCCACAGUGGCAACUCAUUUCAUUCUGCUGCAGUCUCUGAUCUUGAUUUUAACAUUCCGUUUUUCAGCUGUUGAAGAAGUCACAGAUCUCACAGAUAGAUCUUCUGAGCCUGAGGUCAGUGACCUAACUGAUGAUAAUUCAGUUGUGCAGUGGCAGCAGAGCCAGCAAUACCCACGUUUUUUCAGAGCAGCAGAUAAUUCAGCAGUGCUACUGAUGAGUGACAAUGAAGAGGAACAAGGAGAUUACGAUGACAUAUGGCCAACAGGCCCUGCAAGUUCUCUGUUUUGGGUGAAUGAGGACUCAGAGGUAAGGAUCCACAUGUUGUCAUCCUUUCUGCUUUGUGGGAGGGGGAACGAGGCAUAGGGAGACUUGUGCAACUCUUGUCUUAUGUGGGAUGCUAUGGUGUACAUAGAGGGAGAAACCCUUUCCACGAUGGCAGUGGAUUCCUUAUAGUUCUAGCAGUGACUGACAGAUUGCAGAUACUCCAAAUUGCAGAUCUUGUUUGCCUGGUGCCAACGGAGCAGCCAACAGGAAUUCUUUCGUCCCAGUCC